GGGGUUGUGGCUCAGUGGUAGAGCACUCGCCUAGCAUGUGCGAGGCCCUGGGUUCAAUCCUCAGCACCACA
rnacentral:tRNA from 1 species